rnacentral:tRNA from 1 species
GGUAGAAUGGCUGAGGCUUAGGCGAUAAAUUGUAAAUUUAUUUAGGAGAGGAAUUUCUCUUCUACCA